rnacentral:lncRNA from 1 species
GGGAGGCGGAGCUUGCAGUGAGCCGAGAUUGCGUCACCGCACUCCAGCCUGGGCGACAGAGCGAGACUCCGUCUCAAAAAAAAUGACUGGACAAAAAACACUCUGAUGCAAACAGGCAAGAAACCCAGCAAGGCCUAUCUGGAUUCUCCUUGGCCUGUCUGCAGCAUUCAUUCCUUCUGGGUAUGGAACAGGACCCUCUGGAAUGGGGGCUGUGGCCUACAACAGUUAAACAAGUGAACUAAAGGGCUCCCAAAAUCUCUCCUGCAGCAUUUUCCUUGAGAAGGAGGAAGGUUUGCAUCUCUAAAUCUCUCUCUGGGAACAGUGUGGAAGAUGGAUUGAAAUGGUGUAAAAUUGAAGAUGUGGACUCCGGUUGGGAGACUACACCCUAGAUAAGAUGAAGAGAACUUGAAGCAAGACAAUAGCAAUGGGAAUAUAAAGGAGAGGAGACAUUUGAGUGAAAUUAAGGAAGCACAAUCUGCAGACUGUUUUCUUUUUUUUAAGAGUCAGGGUCUCCCUAUUUUGCCCAGGCUGGUCUCAAAGUCCUAGGCUCAAGCGACCCACCCACCUCAGCCUUCCAAAAUGCUGGAAUUACAGGGGUGAACUGCCUCACCAUGCCUCAGUCUGCAGAAUUUGAUGACUGAAUGUAUUUGGAGAGAGUCUGUGGCUUGGAUGACUGGAGACGGAGUUUCUCCAUUUUGGCCAGUUUGGUGUCGACCUCCCGGGCUUAAGCGAUCCACCCACCUCAGCCUCCCAAAGUGUUGGGAUUACAGGCGUGAGCCACUGUAUCCAGCUUGUGAUAUACUUUUAAUAAAUUUCUCUUAAACUUAAAUUAGCAAGUGCUUGUUUAUCAUCCUUCCAAUUAGAGAACCUGGAUUCGGCCAUUAGGAAGUCAAGGGUGGCAUUCAU